CUUAGGCAGAGCUCCCCCUAGAAACCCUCUGGGCCGAAAUAAUGUAUUAGGUUCUACCAACUCGUUAUUUUCCAGACAGACUUCCAGGCAGAGCUCGGCUGAACAACCUUUCUAAGCUUGACCUCAAAUCAGGUAGGACUACCCGCUGAACUUAAGCAUAUCAAUAAGCGGAGGAAAAGAAACCAACAGGGAUUGCCUCAGUAACGGCGAGUGAAGCGGCAAAAGCUCAAAUUUGAAAUCUGAGGCUCUCAGCCCCCGAGUUGUAAUUUGAAGAUGGUGUUCUGGCGCCGGCCCCCUGUCUACGUUCCUUGGAACAGGACAUCGCAGAGGGUGAGAAUCCCGUCUGGCGGGGCGGCCUGGCUCCGUGUAGAGCGCCAUCGACGAGUCGAGUUGUUUGGGAAUGCAGCUCUAAGUGGGUGGUAAAUUCCAUCUAAAGCUAAAUAUUGGCGAGAGACCGAUAGCGAACAAGUACAGUGAUGGAAAGAUGAAAAGAACUUUGAAAAGAGAGUGAAAAAGUACGUGAAAUUGUUGAAAGGGAAGGGUAUUGGAUCAGACUUGGUGCUGUGCGAAUAGCGGCCCUUCUUGGGCUGCCCACUCGCACUCCACCGGGCCAGCAUCGGUUUGGGCGGCAAGACAAUGGCGGGGGAACGUGGCACUGCUCUCGGGCAGUGUGUUUAUAGCCCCCGCUGAUGUUGCCUGCCUAGACCGAGGACUGCGGCUUCUGCCUAGGAUGCUGGCGUAAUGAUCCAACACCGCCCGUCUUGAAACAUGGGACCAAGGGAGUCUAACGUCUAUGCGAGUGUUUGGGUGUAAAACCCGUA
rnacentral:rRNA from 1 species